rnacentral:tRNA from 1 species
AUUUAUUUAGUAUAUUGUAUAUUUGACUUCCAAUCAAAAGGCCUGGGUCUAUCCCCAGAAUAAAUA